rnacentral:RNase_P_RNA from 2 species
GGGGGUGGUCAGGCGGUCGCCCAGCACUCAACUUAUUCUAAAAUUGAUUCAUGCACAAAUUGUUUUGCUUACCGAGAUGUUGUUGCUUUGAGUAAAUUCUAAAAUUAGUUGAGUGCUGGGAGGAAAGUCCGAACUCCGCAGGGCGCAGUGCCCGAUGAAAGUCGGGGACCGGGAAAUGAAAAUUUUCCGGGACGGAAAGUGUCGCAGAAACUAUACCGCCCCGGCAGUCCGGGGUAAGGGUGAAAUGGCGGGGUAAGAGCCCACCGGUCGGUUCCUGAAAAGGAAAGCCCGGUAACGGGCUGCGGUGACGCCCGGCAAGGAUAAACCCCACUGGGAGCAAGGCCAAAUAGGGAAGGAAUCUUCGCAAGGAGAGCGAUGUUGCCCGCAUCGUGUCCCCGGUUUCGGGAACGCACUUCCGGGUAGGCUGCAUUAGAUAAAUGACCGUCACCCCGCACUCAACCCGGUUAAUUACCUCUGGGCACAGGCAAACUGAAAGGACCUGUGGUAGGAGCAGCUACAAACAUCGUUACCCGGGUUGAGUGCGGGGGACAGAAUUCGGCUUAUCGAUCACCCCCGGGU